UACGAAGGGGGCUAGCGUUGUUCGGAAUUACUGGGCGUAAAGCGCACGCAGGCGGUUCGGUCAGUCAGAAGUGAAAGCCCCGGGCUUAACCUGGGAACUGCUUUUGAUACUGCCGAGCUUGAAUCACGGAGAGGGUAGUGGAAUUCCGAGUGUAGAGGUGAAAUUCGUAGAUAUUCGGAAGAACACCAGUGGCGAAGGCGACUACCUGGCCGUCGAUUGACGCUCAUGUGCGAAAGCGUGGGGAGCAAACAGGAUUAGAUACCCUGGUAGUCCACGCCGUAAACGAUGAGUGCUAGUUGUUGGGGUACAUGUACCUCAGUGACGCAGCUAACGCGUUAAGCACUCCGCCUGGGGAGUACGGCCGCAAGGUUAAA
rnacentral:rRNA from 1 species